rnacentral:lncRNA from 1 species
ACUUGGAGAGUGGACGUAGGAGCAAGGGUUAGCUCCGAACCACUAUAAAACUUGUGUUUGUGAUUGAUUGUCUCUCCUUCUUCUCAUUUCAUAUUACUCACAGCACAUAGUAAUUAAUUAAAUAACUUGCAAUAGUUUUUAAUUAAUCAUCUAUAACGUUUUAAAUUAUCUAAAUUAUUUUAAAACCCAAUUCACCCCCCCUCUUGGGUUGUCUAUCUGGGCAACAAGUGGUAUCAGAGCCUAAACUCUUCCACCCAAGAGUAAAAGAUCGAAAUGACAACCCCAGUUGGAUCUUCCCACAUUGAGGGUUAGUCCACCCAAAGACCCCCAUUCUUUAAUGGGUCUGACUACUCAUAUUGGAAGGCUAGGAUGAGAAUAUUCAUCCAAGCCCAAGACUAUGAGAUGUGGACUAUUGUAGUAAAUGGGCCAUACAUCCCAUCCAUAU